CGACGCUCAAUCCUAUGAUUAUCCAACAGCAACACGCUCUAAAAGGCGUUCAAACAGUGCAACGUGAUCAAACAUUUCACAACCGCAGACACAAAUGCAUCACUUCGGCAUGGAUUCUGAGGAGGUUUCUUUUCAUCUUGAAAGAUUAGAUUUUGAAAUCACUGGAGACGGAAAUCGAGACUGAAUAUCUUGUAACACCGCAGAAAACGCAGUAAAUAUGAACCAGAAUCAGCACUUUUAAAAAGUCACCUACAGCCGACUUUGACCUGAUGGACAGACAUCAAUCCUCUCCUUCACAGGCUUUAGUGU